rnacentral:rRNA from 1 species
GAUGAACGCUAGCGGCAGGCUUAACACAUGCAAGUCGAGGGGCAGCAUGAGACGGAGAUUCGUCGAAGUCUUGAUGGCGACCGGCGCAAGGGUGCGUAACGCGUGAGCAACUUGCCCGUUUCAGGGGGAUAACCGGUGGAAACGCCGACUAAUACCCCAUAGUAUUGGUUUGAGGCAUCUCUUACCAAUUAAAGAAUUUCGGAAACGGAUAGGCUCGCGUGACAUUAGCUAGAUGGCGGGGUAACGGCCCACCAUGGCUACGAUGUCUAGGGGUUCUGAGAGGAAGGUCCCCCACACUGGAACUGAGACACGGUCCAGACUCCUACGGGAGGCAGCAGUGAGGAAUAUUGGUCAAUGGUCUGACGACUGAACCAGCCAUGCCGCGUGAAGGUCACGGCCCUAUGGGUCUUAAACUUCUUUUGUAAGGGAGCAAUAAGUCUCACGUGUGGGAUGAUGAGAGUACCUUACGAAUAAGCAUCGGCUAACUCCGUGCCAGCAG